rnacentral:rRNA from 1 species
UUGGAGGGCAAGUCUGGUGCCAGCAGCCGCGGUAAUUCCAGCUCCAAUAGCGUAUAUUAAAGUUGUUGCAGUUAAAAAGCUCGUAGUUGAAUUUCGGGAUCAAUUUAUUGGUCGUGCUAUUGUACGUACUGGUAUUAUUGAUUCCUACCUUCUGACGAACCAUGAUGUCAUUAAUUUGGUGUCUUGGGGAAUCAGGACUGUUACUUUGAAAAAAUUAGAGUGUUUAAAGCAGGCUCACGCUUGAAUACAUUAGCAUGGAAUAACGAAAUAGGACGUUUGAUUCUAUUUUGUUGGUUUCUAGGAUCGACGUAAUGAUUAAUAGGGAUAGUUGGGGGCAUUAGUAUUCAAUUGUCAGAGGUGAAAUUCUUGGAUUUAUUGAAGACUAACUACUGCGAAAGCAUUUGCUAAGGAUGUUUUCAUUAAUCAAGAACGAAAGUAGGGGGAUCGAAGACGAUCAGAUACCGUCGUAGUCUUAGCCAUAAACUAUGCCGACUAGGGAUCGGAUGAUGUUAAUUUUUUAAUGACUCAUUCGGCGCCUUACGGGAAACCAAAGUGUUUGGGUUC